GGACGAGCGAGAACCAGUCUAUUAUAGAUACAUUAGAGAGCAGGAGGAGGGAGAACCAAUCUAGUACAGCUUCAUUAGAGAGGAGGAGGAGAGAGAACCAGUCUAGUACAGCUACAUUAGAGAGGAGGAGGAGGAGGGAGAACCAGUCUAGUAUAGCAACAUAAUAGAGGAGGAGGGACAACCAGUCUAGUAGAGCUACAUUAGAGAGGAGGAGGAGGGACAACCAGUCUAGUAUAGAUACAUUAGUGAGGAGGAUGGAGAACCAGUCAUGUACAGCUAUAUUAGAGAGGAGAAGAGAGAACCAGUCUAGUAUAGCUACAUUAGAGAGGAGGAAGAGGGAGAACCAGUCUAGUAUAGCUACAUUAGAGAGGAGGAGGAAGGAGAACCAUUCUAGUACAGCUACAUUAAAGAGGAGGAGGAGGGAGAACCAGUCUAUGAUAGAUACAUUAGAGAGGAGGAGGGAAAACCAGUCUAGUAUAGAUACAUUAGAGAGGAGGAGGAGGGAGAACCAGUCUAGUAUAGCCACAUUAGAGAGGAGGAGGAGGGAAAACCAGUCUAGUAUAGAUAUAUUAGAGAGGAGGAGGGAGAACCUGUAUAGUACAUCUACAUUAAAGAGGAGGACGAGCGAGAACCAGUCUAUUAUAGACACAUUAGAGAGGAGGAGGGAGAACCGAUCCAGUACAGCUACAUUAGAGAGGAGGAGGAGAGAUAACCAGUCUAGUACAGCUACAUUAGAGAGGAGGAGGAGGGAGAACCAGUCUAGUACAGCUACAUUAGAGAGGAGGAGGAGGGAGAACCAGUCUAGCAUAGCUAAAUUAGUGAGGAGGAGGGACAACCAGUCUAGUGUAUAUACAUUAGAGAGGAGGAGGAGGGAGAACCAGUAUAGUACAGCUCCAUUAGAGAGGAGGAUGGAGAACCAGUCUAGUAUAGCUACAUUAGAGAGGAGGAGGAGGGAGAACCAGUCUAGUACAGCUACAUUAGAGAGGAGGAGGAGGGAGAACCAGUCUAGUACAGCUACAUUAGAGAGGAUGAGGGAGAACCAGUCUAGUACAGCUAAAUUAGAGAGGAGGAGGAAG
ensembl:lncRNA